GCUUUGCAUUUGAAUAAAUGCGCAUGUGCAGGGGAAGACAAGGAUGUGUCACUAAACAGAGUUUGCUGAUUCGUCUAGACUUCCUGGCUAGGGAUUCUCAGAGAUCCAUCGGAGAGGGGAUGGCAGUUUGUCCAUGGGUCACAUGAGAGCAAGCAUUCCUCCCCGAAACAUUUGGAUGUCCGUGAGACUAGGCCGUUUCCUGAUAAUAAAUACAUUUCUAACAGAUGGAAGUCUAUUCAACUCUUCAG
rnacentral:lncRNA from 1 species